rnacentral:lncRNA from 1 species
AAUUGAUCCUCCCCAUGGAAGACACUUGAAUGGCUAUAGGUCUCCUCCUCGUGGCUGGGCUAGAGAUGGCCCUAGAGAGUUUGGUGCUGGGCUGCCACCUCCAAGGCACGAAGACAGGUUCCCUGACCACCAAAUGCGAAGAGAUUGGUUGGAUUACUCAGACAACCAUAGAGGAAGAACCAAGUUUGACAGGCCAAUACCUAUGGAUAGGGGAAAUAGAGAUCGCGGGAGGGAUAGUUUCUUUGAAAGGAAAGCAUUUGAAAGGCGACCACUGUCUCCCCCUUCACCACCACCACCACUUCCUCCUUACCGUGGCCGAUGGGC